rnacentral:rRNA from 1 species
AUGGAUCCGAAGCUGGUGGAGGUGACGCAGCUGUUCGACCGCUUCAAGGCGGCCUUCAAGGCCAGCAAUUUCGACGUCUGCUCGACCCUCCUCUCGCAGCUCAAGGUCCUCCUCACCAAGUUCCCCAGCCUUCCCCCGCUGUUCCAGCAGACGCCCAACGCCGUGGAGGAGCUCAAGCUUGCGAGGGAAAUUUAUGAGCAGGCAGUUAUUUUGAGUGUGAAAAUGGAAGACCAAGAUGCAUUUGAAAGGGACUUCUGCCAGCUCAAGCCCUAUUACAUGGACACAUGCGGCAUAAUUCCUCCAUCAUCGGAGGAGUACCCAAUCAUGGGGGCUAACCUUCUGAGGCUGUUAGUCCAGAAUAGAAUUGCGGAGUUCCACACUGAGCUGGAGCUUCUUCCCGCCAAAGCGCUGGAUAAUGCUUACAUCAAGCACGGGGUUGAGCUCGAGCAGUCCUUUAUGGAGGGCGCAUACAACCGCGUGCUGAGCGCUCGACAAACCGCGCCGCAUGAAACCUACAUAUACUUCAUGGACCUUCUCGUCAAAACGGUUAGAGACGAGAUAGCUGGGUGCAGCGAGAAGGGAUAUGAUUACCUGUCAAUAAACGACGCGAAGCAGAUGUUUAAGUUCAGCUCCGACAAGGAACUGCAACAGUACAUCGCAGAGGAGCACCCCGAGUGGGAUGUCAAGGACGGCCGGGUCUUGUUCCAGAAGGCGAAGGAGUCCCAGCCCUGCAAGGAGAUCCCGGCAGCGCCGGUCAUCAACCAGACCCUCGGCUACGCGAGGGAAUUGGAGAGGAUUGUGUGA